ACACGGAAUCACUCACCUAUCUGUCAUUUAGUAAAAGAAAAUUCAGUUUGGUAUGCUGUUUAAUUUUUAUAUUAAUUUUAAAAGAGAUUAAAGGUUUUAAAUGUUAUUUUAUUAUUAUAUACCAGAAAACGCGAAUUUGAACAGCCGUUGUUUAGUGAAAAUGGGACUUCACGCCGUGUCUCAAGAUGAAUUACGACGCGUCCAAUAUUUCGAGCUCUACGUUGUCAUCGCACGAAGCGGAAAUGUUACCGAAUCGAAUGAUCGCCCAUAUGAAGGCAUUAACUACAAUUACCACUGCGCCGAUUCUAUCACACUGCGCGCUUUGGAGAAACAUAGGCCGUGGUCAUUCUCUCCUUAAAACAUUUUUAAAUGCCUUCUUUGGCAACUUUAUUUAUAUUGUGUAGUUUUAGCUGCUUCAAGCCCGUAAGCAUGGCAACGUGAAUACGGCCAUAAUCUAUAUACAGUCAAACCUGGGUAAGUGAGAACUGGAUAAGUAAGAAAACUCUAUAAGUGAGAGUAAUAGCAAGGACCCGUCAUUUUAAGCUCCCAUAACCUCUAUUAGCGAGAAACAGAAACCUCUGUAAGAGAGAGUCGUUUUUUCCUCAUGUACCUCCGUAAGUGAGACUGCUACCUAUCUAUACCUCUAUAAGCGACAGCUGAGCUUUAUUUAUAUUAUUUAGGAGGAACAAAUGACAAAACAAAUUACAAAUUUAACAUCUGCUAUUUUAUGACUCAUUUUUAACUUUCGUGGAACUUCUUAUCAUUGUUUUUGUAUUGUUUUCUCGUGAAUAUUGAACCUAUUCUAUUUCGUGGAACUAAAUUACGUUGUUAUUUUAUCGUAUUCUUUUAUCGCAUUAUUUUCGAAUGGACACGUGUGCCUGUGUACCAUCCUGUUUGUCGGACUUACUCAGUUUAUCGUUAAUCAAUUGCGAAGGAAAGUUCUGUUCUGCAUCAUGUAAAAACGGAAAAUUAAAGUACUGUCAUUAAAGUCAUAAACUUAAAAUAGUGAAUGCAUUUGAAUGCGGAAAAUCGCGAAUCGAAAUUCAGAGGGAGCAUUAGCGAGAAACUCGGGUUAGUGAGAAACCUCUAUAAGCGAGAAUGAGAUUGUGCUCCCUUGAACUCUCGCUUAUCCAGGUUUGACUGUAUAUAAAAAUGAAUUGCUGUUCGUUAGUCUCGCUAAAACUCGAGAGCGGCUGAACCGAUUUGGCUAAUUUUGGUCUUGAAUUAUUUGUGGAAGUCCAGAGAAGGUUUAAAAGGUAUAUAAAUAUGAAAAUGCUCGGAAUUAAAUAAAAAUAACAAUUUUGUUUUUCCUUUGAUGUAUCCCCCGUCAGACGGAUUCCUUUUGUUUGUUUUAAUUUUAUUUUAUACAAAAGUUUAGGUCUUUUCUUUAUCGAUUGAGGCACUACGAAGUUUGCCGGGUCAGCUAGUUUGAGAGAUAUAUUUUUUAUUGUAAGACGUAAAAACGGUUACUCUUUGAAAACGAGUCACUUAACUGCAAAAAUUAAUAGUGCAGGGUCAUAAAUACGUUUUAUCGCUACUACGGUUUCCUACUGAAAGACUUUACUGUCUAAUGACAAUUUUAUAUCAAAUUAAUCGGUAAUUUAUAAUAGCCGAAGAUAACGCAAAAUCUAAGGAAUUAACCGCUCGAUUGAUCUUCAAAACCACGAGCCGAACUAUCCCGGACGCAUCGAGACCAGGAGAUGAUUGACGACAGAUCUCACGCUUCGUCGACUGUAAAUUGACUUCAUGCGAACGUACUGAUACAUUAUGAUGUACUAGAUAACCACUAGUAUGUAUGCUAAGCAAGUAUCUGUACAUCAGAAUAUUGAUUAUCGAUAUUAUGUUCGUAUUUUUUUUGCUAAGCAAGUAUCUGUACAUCAGAAUAUUGAUUAUCGAUAUUAUGUUCGUAUUUUUGUUGCUAAGCAAGUAUCUGUAUAUAAAAAUAUUGAUUAACGAUAUUAUGUUCGUAUUUUUUUUGCUAAGCAAGUAUCUGUACAUCAAAAUAUUGAUUAUCGAUAUUAUGUUCGUAUUUUUUUUUCUCUUUUAGCAGUCAGUGUUCAAUGUAAGUUUAUUCAUCUAGCACAUUCCAUGGAACACAAAUUGUGCAACAGUCCUUCCUCCCCAGUUCUACUGUUCUCUAGAAUAAAUGAAAAGUGUUCAGGCCAGCGCCUUCAAUUUUUUCAAUAGCAAUGUCAAAGAUGCUAGGAUUCUAAGGCGCUAAGCAUCACAGUUUAAUAACUCAAUGUAUUUCACUAUCAUUCGUUCAUUCACUACCCGCUCUUCAAGCACGCUGUACAUCUCCAUUUAAAUAUUAUAAGAAUGAUAUCAA